AGAUAAUAGAUACCCCGGUAGUCCACGCCGUAAACGAUGGAUGCUAGCUGUUAUAGGUAUCGACCCCUGUAGUAGCGAAAGCUAACGCGUUAAGCAUCCCGCCUGUGGAGUACGGUCGCAAGACUAAAACAUAAAGGAAUUGACGGGGACCCGCACAAGCGGUGGAGCGUGUUGUUUAAUUCGAUGGUAAACGAAGAACCUUACCAGGUUUGACAUCCUUGGAAUUUCUCCGAAAGGAGAGAGUGCUUUAUUGAGCCAAGUGACAGGUGAUGCAUGGCCGUCGUCAGCUCGUGUCGUGAGAUGUUUGGUUAAGUCCAUCAACGAGCGCAACCCUUGUGAUUAGUUGAAUUUUUCUAAUCAGACUGCCCUGGUAACAGGGAGGAAGGAGGGGAUGAUGUCAGGUCAGUAUUUCCCUUACAUCUGGGGCUACAAACACGCUACAAUGGCCGGUACAAAGGGCAGCCAAGUCGCGAGACGGAGCAAAUCCCAUCAAAGCCGGUCUCAGUUCGGAUUGCAGGCUGAAACUCGCCUGC
rnacentral:rRNA from 1 species